rnacentral:rRNA from 1 species
UAGUUGGUGAGGUAAUGGCUCACCAAGGCAAUGACGCCUAACUGGUUUGAGAGGAUGAUCAGUCACACUGGAACUGAGACACGGUCCAGACUCCUACGGGAGGCAGCAGUGGGGAAUAUUGCACAAUGGAGGAAACUCUGAUGCAGCAACGCCGCGUGGAGGAUGACACUUUUCGGAGCGUAAACUCCUUUUAUAUAGGAAGAUAAUGACGGUACUAUAUGAAUAAGCACCGGCUAACUCCGUGCCAAGCAGCCGCGGUAUACGGAGGGUGCAAGCGUUACUCGGAAUCACUGGGCGUAAAGAGCGUGUAGGCGGGUUAAUAAGUCAGAUGUGAAAAGCCUAUGGCUCAACCAUAGAACUGCAUUUGAAACUGUUACCCUAGAAUAUGGGAGAGGUAGAUGGAAUUUCUGGUGUAGGGGUAAAAUCCGUAGAGAUCAGAAGAAAUACCGAUUGCGAAGGCGAUCUACUGGGAACAUUAUUGACGCUGAGACGCGAAAGCGUGGGGAGCAAACAGGAUUUAGAUACCCUGGUAGUCCACGCCCUAAACGAUGUACACUAGUUGUUGCGAUGCUAGACAUUGCAGUAAUGCAGUUAACACAUUAAGUGUACCGCCUGGGGAGUACGGUCGCAAGAUUAAAACUCAAAGGAAUAGACGGGGACCCGCACAAGCGGUGGAGCAUGUGGUUUAAUUCGACGAUACGCGAAGAACCUUACCUGGGCUUGACAUAGUAAGAACAAUUUAGAGAUAGAUUGGUGUCUGCUUGCAGAAACUUAUAUACAGGUGCUGCACGGCUGUCGUCAGCUCGUGUCGUGAGAUGUUGGGUUAAGUCCCGCAACGAGCGCAACCCACGUCGUUAGUUGCUAACAGUUCGGCUGAGAACUCUAACGAGACUGCCUGGGCAACCAGGAGGAAGGUGUGGACGACGUCAAGUCAUCAUGGCCCUUACGUCCAGGGCUACACACGUGCUACAAUGGGGUAUACAAAGAGCAGCGAUACCGCGAGGUGGAGCAAAUCUCAAAAAUACCUCCCAGUUCGGAUAGCACUCUGCAACUCGAGUGCUUGAAGUUGGAAUCGCUAGUAAUCGUAGAUCAGCAACGCUACGGUGAAUACGUUCCCGGGUCUUGUACUCACCGCCCGUCACACCAUGGGAGUUGAACUCAUUCGAAGCGGGGAUGCUAAGAUAGCUACCCUCCACAGUGGAUUCAGCGACUGGGGUG